rnacentral:rRNA from 1 species
GACGAACGCUGGCGGCGUGCUUAACACAUGCAAGUCGAGCGGUAAGGCCCUUUCGGGGGUACACGAGCGGCGAACGGGUGAGUAACACGUGGGUGACCUGCCCUCAGCUCUGGGAUAAGCCUGGGAAACCGGGUCUAAUACUGGAUAUGACUCCAUGACGCAUGUUGUGGGGUGGAAAGCCUUGUGCGGCUGAGGAUGGGCCCGCGGCCUAUCAGCUUGUCGGUGGGGUGAUGGCCUACCAAGGCGACGACGGGUAGCCGGCCUGAGAGGGCGACCGGCCACACUGGGACUGAGACACGGCCCAGACUCCUACGGGAGGCAGCAGUGGGGAAUCUUGCGCAAUGGGCGAAAGCCUGACGCAGCGACGCCGCGUGAGGGAUGACGGCCU